rnacentral:lncRNA from 1 species
GACUCCUAGUGUAACCGUCGGAUCUUUUCGGGAGAUCCUUGGAAUAUUUGGGAGAUAUACGGGGAAUAUUUGCAAAAUCUCCAAAUAAGGAAAGUUUCUCACAAUGCUGUGAGUUUUUGCCCGGAGUCGGCGACUGCCUUGUGGAGUCGGCGACUUGGCGUGAUUUGGGAGAUUUGGAGAUCGAAUCUUGAUCUCAAAUUUCGAAAAUUUUGGGUUUUCUGGGGGGUUUUUGCAAUUUUCCCAAGG